CGUCUUUCUCUUAUCACCUUAAACAACUUCACUGUUGUGAGAAAAGUUUGGCAACAUUUAUGUAGUUAUGCAUAUGUGUAAAUUCUCUUAAACUAGUUUUGUUCUGACAGCUUCUUAUAUCUGUAAUUUUGAUCAAAUGGUCGACCUUGCUUAUGCAAUGUGCAAAUGAACUUUAUAUACUCUCACAAAUAUAGUGAAUCUUAUUAAAUUUGAAUUCACCAACUUCUGCUAGUUUAGCUUUGCAACAGUUUUAGAAUCUCUACAGAUUGCAAUCUGUAGCGAUUACAGCAGUGUUUAAGCUGUUUCUUGAUGUCAUCCACUUAUUUGUUUACUCCUUAUCGAACGGGAGAUGUGAGUGAUAAGACUAGACAUAAUACUGUGCGUAUCUCUCUUAUCACAAGACAUGCAAGAGAGCCGCACGGCGGGGGUUCGAGUUUAUUUCCAUAUGAACUGUUCAAACAGAACAACAGCAGCUAUCUAGCUACGCUUUGGCUAGAUACUGUAUACCCAUGAGAUAUGAAAGAAUGUUGGCCACGAAUUAUUUUGGCUGGUUCUAUAGAAUGGUGAGGCUCUAGAAGAUUCGAGAAAGACGUUGGCUGACGCAGUGCCCAAGAUUUCAGACAAAGACUGGCGAGUGGUUUCGAACAAGCAGCUGUUGCAAGAAAUAUAGAUUGCAGUGAUGUCAAGUGCUUUCUGGUGAUGCCUGGCAGCCACGAUCAAACCUCACUCCCGUCUGCAUAGAAGGUGACCGCUCUAACACGUAUCGGGAACUCAAACACAGGUGCUUGACAAAAAGACGUCAAAUAGGACGUUCACGAGAAUUUAUUGUACACUAUCGAAACAAAGAUCUUGUCAGUAAAGAGUUGUAUGACCAGCGAUCAAUGUAUGGUGGGAUCCAGGACCUAAAAGGAACUCGAGCUAUUUGCAACAGGCCACCCAAUCAGCUUUGGAAGCGUCCUAAACACGACACUGAAAAACGCCAUUUGCAAGUUUUGGGACACAAAAUGCUUACUACAACCUGCUGGCUUACUAACUUUGUCGCUUUCUUACUUGGUUGCUGACAGCUAGCUAUGGAACAAUACGGUUGGGCAAUGGUCUGCAGCUGGAUGCUGACUCUGACGCUGGUGACAAUGAUCCGCUGCCGCUUUACUUGGUUGCUAAGUGUAUGUAUUUACUUCCGGUAUUUGUGCGUUUGUGUUUGUCACACAAUACUAAAUUCGUAAUAAUAUUUUGUAAAUGUGAAGUCUUCUAGCACAACAUGCUGAUGCAAAUACAAGUGAUUUUUGUG